rnacentral:tRNA from 1 species
GCGCUCGUAGCUCAACGGAUAGAGUAACAGUUUGCGGAACUGUCGAUACAGGUUCGAUUCCUGUCGGGCGCA